CAGCUGCUCUCAAGUACCAAGAUCAGGGAGCCCAGCCAUUGGCAGCAGCAAUGCAACACUGCCAGAGAUGAGUGACACUGUUCUUGAAGAUAAUAGAAGCACAAAUAAGUCAAAGAAAGAGAAGACCAAGCCUCAGAAAAAAAGUGCAGAGGAUGUAUAUACUCUGCAGUGUGCUGUCCUUGAAAAAGAACUAGAAAAAAA